UACGUAGGGGGCGAGCGUUGUCCGCAGUUACUGGGCGUACAGAGCGCGUAGGCGGGUCUUUAAGUGCGGGGUGAAAGGUUAGGGCUCAACCCUAACACUGCCUUUCAUACUGGGGACCUUGAGUGCGGGAGAGGCGAGUGGAAUGGUCGGUGUAGCGGUGAAAUGCGUAGAUAUCGAUCGGAACACCCAUGGCGAAGGCAGCUCGCUGGCCUGCAACUGACGCUGAGGCGCGAAAGCGUGGGGAGCAAACAGG
rnacentral:rRNA from 1 species